UACGAAGGGGGCGAGCGUUGUUCGGAUUUACUGGGCGUAAAGGGCGCGUAGGCGGCCCUCCUUGUCGCGUGUGAAAGCCCCGGGCUCAACCUGGGAAUUGCGCGCGAAACGGGGGGGCUUGAGUUCGGGGAGAGGAGCGUGGAAUUCCCAGUGUAGAGGUGAAAUUCGUAGAUAUUGGGAAGAACACCGGUGGCGAAGGCGGCGCUCUGGACCGAGACUGACG
rnacentral:rRNA from 1 species